GGACUACUGGGGUUUCUAAUCCUGUUUGAUCCCCACGCUGUCGCGCCUGAGCGUCAGUAACGGGCCAGUGAGCCGCCUUCGCCACCGGUGUUCUUCCCAAUAUCUACGAAUUUCACCUCUACACUGGGAAUUCCACUCACCUCUCCCGUACUCAAGCCGAUCAGUUUCAAAGGCAAUUCCGGAGUUGAGCUCCGGGCUUUCACCCCUGACUUGAUCGGCCGCCUGCGCGCGCUUUACGCCCAGUAAUUCCGAACAACGCUAGCCCCCUUCGUAUUACCGCGGCUGCUGGCAC
rnacentral:rRNA from 1 species